rnacentral:sRNA from 1 species
GCAACAUAUUGGUGGUUAGCUCUUUUGUAAUUAAAUCUGGACGUACCUCAAAAGAAUCUUAAGACUGUAGUGAUAAAGAGGCUUUCCUC